GUCUACGGCCAUACCACCCUGAACGCGCCCGAUCUUGUCUGAUCUCGGAAGCUAAGCAGGGUCGGGCCUGGUUAGUACUUGGAUGGGAGAUGGUAUCAUUCCCACUGGACAGAAGGCAGUUACC
rnacentral:rRNA from 1 species